rnacentral:rRNA from 1 species
UAGGGAAUAUUGGACAAUGGGUGAGAGCCUGAUCCAGCCAUGCCGCGUGCAGGAAGAAGGCGUUAUGCGUUGUAAACUGCUUUUUGCCAGGGGAUAAAAUGACCGUGCGCGGUUAAUUGAAGGUACCUGGUGAAUAAGCCACGGCUAACUACGUGCCAGCAGCCGCGGUAAUACGUAGGUGGCAAGCGUUGUCCGGAUUUAUUGGGUUUAAAGGGUGCGUAGGUGGUCCUGUAAGUCAGUGGUGAAAUAUCUCAGCUUAACUGAGAGGGUGCCAUUGAUACUGCAGGGCUUGAGUACAGAUGAGGUAGGCGGAAUUGACGGUGUAGCGGUGAAAUGCAUAGAUAUCGUCAAGAACACCGAUAGCGAAGGCAGCUUACCAAGCUGUAACUGACACUGAGGCACGAAAGUGUGGGGAUCAAACAGGAUUAGAUACCCUGGUAGUCCCUGAGCGGGCUGGCAAGGCGCAU